ACACAGAAUUUAUGUCUUGAGUCUCCUCUAUAACCCCAUUUGAAAAAUAUUUGAAAUAUUCUAAUAAAUAUAAAUUUUUAAAUAACUUCUCCCCUUCAAAUAUUCAUUCUGCUACCAUUCGUGCAUGCUAAUUUGCAAUUUGAGAAAAUAAAUCGCAAAAUAAGUACGAAAAAUAAAUAAAAUACCAAAACAAGAAAAAUAUGCAGACAUAAAUCUUUAAUCAAAUCGAUGGACCAUAGCUAAAGGCAUACCGAAAUAAGCGAGUAACGAGAAAAAAAAGGAAGAUGUGGCACACAUGAGACUCGAAGCGUCGAAGGAUAAUCAUAUUUGUGUACAUAAGGACACAUAUGUGACCAAGAGGGCGUUCUAAGGAAGCAAACAUUGAAUGGGGAGAUGCCAGCAGCAAAUAAGAAGAUGUAUAAGAAGACAUUGCUAGAUGCUAAAGUACGACGAAAGGAUCAACAAACAGACGUGAGACAGAGUCAGCAGCAUGGCAAAAGGAAUGCCGAAAAAUCAAAUCAAUAUUAAUUUGCAAAACAGCGUGCAAUUGUCUGGCGUACUAAAGAGGAAUACACGCCGAGAACGCAGAUUUGCCGAAAGGACAUGCCGGUGCACUAAAAAAAGAAACAAAAAAAAAAAUAAAAUAAAAAAAAAGACAGGGGGGAGCGGCUUAACUUAAGGUCAAAGACGAAUGCUUCUUAGCAUAUGCACAUAAAUCUUGCUCGGCGAAAGGGGAGACGGCGAAAAAUUACGGCACAAACCGACACAUUACCACUGAGGGUAGAGCAAUAUCGGCAGCUGAACUAAGCAAUGAAUGGGGAAGCAAUAGGAAAAGGACAAUAACGCCGCUAAACGCUUCAAUGACAAUUCUAGCAUGUAAAAUAAAAUAGUAAAUACACAUAAAUAAAAGAAAGUUCACAGACACUGUGCGAAAACCCCAAAGGCCAAGGAUAUGCCGGGAACUAAAGAAAUCAAGCAAGAAACAAGCGAAAAUCCUGCUUAAAGUUGUCGAACAACCACGCACCCAGCAAAAACACAUCUACACUGAGUUCUAAUAAAAUGAAUGAGAAAUGGUCGUAAAUGGACAGACGCGAGCCGGGCGAAAUGGACGAAAGGACUUCAAAGGACAUUCGAAGUGAGAAUAUAGUUAGAAAACCGGCAGGACGGGUGGAAGGAGUUGGACAGUUGGCAGACACUUGGCAGUAGUCAUAAAAACAGCAGCAACAGCGCCAAGAAACAUAAGCGACAAUCACAGCAGCAGCAGCAGUAACAGCAACUGUGACAGAGACAAAGAACAAACACAUGCAGCGCGCGCGAAAGGAAGUGCGGAGAGAGUGAAGUAGAGAAGGCGGAAAAUAAAAGUAAAGCAAAAGGAAGUGUCCAAAUUGCCCUUAAAGGCGCGCAAAUAAAAUUUUAGGCGAGAAAACAA